CGUGACCAGUUAGUUGUCACUGCCCGGAAGACAGCUGUGCAGUCCAGCCUUCUCUUUCCCAUUAUAGUUGAAGUUUCACAGAAAAGAUCAGGAAGAAAUUUGAAUUCCUGUGAUGUGCCAGACUUGUGAGGAGGGGUACAGAGAAGAUAUGGCAAGGAGGUCCUUCAGAGAGCUCAGAGUCCUAAGAAAAAAGUUGUUCAGGAAAGAAUGCACCCAGAAGUGAAUGAUCAUGUGAGCUUUUUCCUAGUGGACCACAGUUUUCACCAUUUCUGUUCUCGGCCUAGAGGUUCCUGGGAGGCAAGAGACACUGUGCUCACUGCCUCUGUAUGUGGAGCAGGCCUGAGUAAGUGUCUGAGGUUUGAAUGGAUGGGUGGAUGGAUGAAGACACACUCUGACUGUAGAGGCACCCUCAUUUCUGUCAGCUGAGGUUGUUUCCAAGGCCUCUGUAAUCAGUAGAGCUGGUGAAGCUCAGCUUUGAGGAUGCAGCUAUGGUGAUGCUGUCCAGUUACUGAGUGAGCAUCCGUUCUGAGCAGAGUAACUUUGCAGAGCUGAGAUCUGUUUCCUGCAUGUGUGACUCCUGUCUUACAUUUUUGGUGUGUGUUCUGGUCU
rnacentral:lncRNA from 1 species